rnacentral:misc_RNA from 1 species
AGAAUACAGGGCAUGCUCUGUUAGUCAUACAAAGUUGAAUAAGGAGACCUGAAGAAAAAUUAUAAACACUCAACACAUGGCUUCGAAUACAUUCAAAUACAUGGAUCCUAACUCAUGUUCAUACAAUCCUAAGAUUUCGAUCAUAUUUGUUUCACUAAUUUAUCAUAUAAUCACAUGAAUAACAUGAACUAUAUACAUUAAUUCACAGUCUAGAUGUGUACCUUCUUUGCAAAAAUUAAUUUAUCUACAAAUGAAUCAAACGAGAGUUUUUUAAAGAUGCCAAGAACAAAAAUCAAUGUACAAACCUUUUGGCCAAAAUUUAUAUCACUUCAUGCAUAUAACUAUUAAGAAG